UCAGGAUGAACGCUGGCGGCGUGCUUAACACAUGCAAGUCGAACGAUGAUCCCAGCUUGCUGGGGGAUUAGUGGCGAACGGGUGAGUAACACGUGAGUAACCUGCCCUUAACUCUGGGAUAAGCCUGGGAAACUGGGUCUAAUACCGGAUAUGACUCCUCAUCGCAUGGUGGGGGGUGGAAAGCUUUUUUGUGGUUUUGGAUGGACUCGCGGCCUAUCAGCUUGUUGGUGAGGUAAUGGCUCACCAAGGCGACGACGGGUAGCCGGCCUGAGAGGGUGACCGGCCACACUGGGACUGAGACACGGCCCAGACUCCUACGGGAGGCAGCAGUGGGGAAUAUUGCACAAUGGGCGAAAGCCUGAUGCAGCGACGCCGCGUGAGGGAUGACGGCCUUCGGGUUGUAAACCUCUUUCAGUAGGGAAGAAGCGAAAGUGACGGUACCUGCAGAAGAAGCGCCGGCUAACUACGUGCCA
rnacentral:rRNA from 1 species